UCUUCAUAAAUGCAUCCUUUUCUCUGCCCAACAUCCUGUGGUAGGACAUUAGUCCUUCUGGUCAUGAGUUGUUAUGGGCAAAAUCCUCCACCAGCAAAAAGAUCAUGACGUGCUAAAGGCUCAGGUGAUGGUUACCAUUUUUAAGCCAUAAAAUAUUUU